UUUUAAACAAACGUCGCCGAACUGUGAGAACCCUGGAAUGCCCUGACUCCUGCGAUCUCUCCUUCUGAACAGGCGUCGCCGACCUGCGAGAAACCUGCCAGAUGCUGUGCUCUGCUUCCUCUGCUGAUUGGACCUCCGGAACCAUAGCUCCCAUAAGACUGGAUGACAGUAUUCCUGAUUCUACUGCUGUCAUGCCAUCAGAGCCCGUGAUGCUGCCUGUCAAUCAGACUGCUGGCCAUGUGGUGAAACCAGGAUUUCUAGGUCAAGAACAGCUCAACGUCCCCCUCCGCUGUUACUGCAGUCUCUUCCCUCACACCGUCCAGCAAGAUCCACUAGAGGAGUCUGAAGCGAAUCUCUGCCAGUCCACUGGGGUAGUCGAAGCCACGAUGUCUGUGAGUCAGCGUCUGAAUCCGAUUCUGCUGGAAGCUGUAGUAUGACAAGGGGUGAAGAAUUUAAUUAUCAGCACAAGAGUAGAGCUACUGGGACUUGAUGUUUCAAUCUCCAUGGGUCCGUGGACAAUUCUGAUUUGAUGGAGACAGACGUGAGAAGCACAGAGGAACAUCUGGAGAAAUUUCUGUAACACCAGUCCGCUGCCGCUGUUACUGGGCGAUCGAGAAUCUUCCGGAGGGAAAGCCCCAAAAUCCCCGGCUUUGCCUGCUGCUGGCGACCGAGGCUGAGGUCCAAUCGUUCAGAUAGAGAUGGUGCUCGGUACUCGGUGUCGGAGGGCUGAUCGGAGCUCAAAGUUUUUGGACGACUCAGAGUUGGACUGUGGUUGGUCAUGGCAGGGAGAGUUUUCUUCCUUCUCCUGUCUGCGUGAGAUGUGGGACAUUCGAGAGACUUUGAACUUUUUUACUGUGCUAUGGCCUGUUCUUCAUCAAGUUAUGGUAUUAUUGCACUGUUGUAACUAUAUGUUAUAAUUAUGUGGUUUUUGUUAGUUUUUCAGUCUUGUUUUUUUCAGUCCUGUGUAUUUGUGAUAUCACACUGGAGGAAUAUUGUAUCAUUUCUUAAUGCAUGCAUUACUAAAUGACAAUAAAAGAGGACUGUGUGUCCUCAUAAUCUAAUCUAAUCUAAUCUAAUCUAAUAUAGGCCUUUCAAUAUUCAAUAGCUUUCUAUGAGAUCCCCCUUCAUCUAAACUCCAAUGAGUACAGGCCCAAAGCCAUAAAAGACUCCAUAUAUAUUAACCCUUUCAUUCCCCAAAUCACUCUUGUGUGUCUCCUCUGGACCCUCUCCAAUGCCAGCACAUUUUUUCAUUAAUAAGGGGUCCAAAACUGCUCACAAUGCUCCAAGUGUG